rnacentral:rRNA from 1 species
AGUGAACGCUGGCGGCGUGCUUAACACAUGCAAGUCGAACGAGAACGGGUUAUAGCUUGCUAUAGUUGUCAGCUAAGUGGCGCACGGGUGAGUAAUGUAUAGGUAAUAUGCCUCUUACUAAGGGAUAACAAAUGGAAACGUUUGCUAAUACCUUAUACUCCUUAUUAACAUAAGUUAAUAAGGGAAAGAUUUAUUGGUAAGAGAUUAGCCUGUAUUGGAUCAGUUAGUUGGUGGGGUAAUGGCUUACCAAGACUAUGACACAUAACUGGUUUGAGAGGAUGAUCAGUCACACUGGAACUGAGACACGGUCCAGACUCCUACGGGAGGCAGCAGUGGGGAAUAUUGCACAAUGGACGAAAGUCUGAUGCAGCAACGCCGCGUGGAGGAUGACACAUUUCGGUGCGUAAACUCCUUUUAUAUGAGAAGAUAAUGACGGUAUUAUAUGAAUAAGCACCGGCUAACUCCGUGCCAGCCGCCGCAGUAA